ensembl:snRNA U6 U6 spliceosomal RNA
GUGCUUGCUUUGGCAGCACAUAUACUAAAAUUAGAAUGAUACAGAGAUUAGUAUGGCCCCUGCACAAGGAUGACAUGCAAAUUCAUGAAGUGUUCCAUAUUUUA